rnacentral:rRNA from 2 species
AGUCGACGGUACAGGAAGCAGCUUGCUGCUUUGCUGACGAGUGGCGGACGGGUGAGUAAUGUCUGGGAAACUGCCUGAUGGAGGGGGAUAACUACUGGAAACGGUAGCUAAUACCGCAUAACGUCGCAAGACCAAAGAGGGGGACCUUCGGGCCUCUUGCCAUCGGAUGUGCCCAGAUGGGAUUAGCUAGUAGGUGGGGUAAAGGCUCACCUAGGCGACGAUCCCUAGCUGGUCUGAGAGGAUGACCAGCCACACUGGAACUGAGACACGGUCCAGACUCCUACGGGAGGCAGCAGUGGGGAAUAUUGCACAAUGGGCGCAAGCCUGAUGCAGCCAUGCCGCGUGUAUGAAGAAGGCCUUCGGGUUGUAAAGUACUUUCAGCGGGGAGGAAGGGAGUAAAGUUAAUACCUUUGCUCAUUGACGUUACCCGCAGAAGAAGCACCGGCUAACUCCGUGCCAGCAGCCGCGGUAAUACGGAGGGUGCAAGCGUUAAUCGGAAUUACUGGGCGUAAAGCGCACGCAGGCGGUUUGUUAAGUCAGAUGUGAAAUCCCCGGGCUCAACCUGGGAACUGCAUCUGAUACUGGCAAGCUUGAGUCUCGUAGAGGGGGGUAGAAUUCCAGGUGUAGCGGUGAAAUGCGUAGAGAUCUGGAGGAAUACCGGUGGCGAAGGCGGCCCCCUGGACGAAGACUGACGCUC